UAGCAGGGGGUGCAAGCGUUGUUCGGAAGUUAUUGGGACGUAAAGGGCGCGUAGGCGGUGCGGUAAGUCUUUUGUGAAAUCUCCGGGCUCAACUCGGAGUCUGCAGGAGAAACUGCCGUGCUUGAGUAUGGGAGAGGUAGAGUGGAAUUCCUGGUGUAGCGGUAGAAAUGCGUAGAUAUCAGGAGGAACACCUGUGGCGAAAGCGGCUCACUGGACCAUUACUGACGCUGGAUGCGCGAAAGCUAGGGGAGCAAACAGG
rnacentral:rRNA from 1 species